rnacentral:lncRNA from 1 species
CCUUUUCCUAGACAGAACUUCCUUAGACAUUACCAAUAAUUUUAUCUAAUAAUAUUAUUCAAAUAAUAUGAAUUAUUGAUCUGAUAAUGGGAAAUACUAUGCAGUGAAAAUUAUUGUAACAACAAUAAUAUAGAAUAUCAACGUAGCAAUUAUUGAAUCAAUAAAAUAAAAUAUUGAACAGUAAUUACUGUAGCAAUUAUUGAGUAGUGCCUUCUUACGUAAGAAUCAAUAAUCCAAAAUAUUGUGCAAUAAUGUCUGCUAUUGUGCAACCACACGUAUUACUAUAUUUUAACCACCAGGUAUUCCAACAGUGCUAACGGUAACAACUACGCCGUUAUUUAUAAAAACUCAAACUUGUCGUUUUCUUCAUCUGACCAUUUCCCGUUAUGGGGCCCACAAAUGGUUGCGCCGUCAUACGAAUAUUCCCCGACAACAAGAAUAUUCCACGACCAAACGAAUAUUCCCCAACAACAAUGAAUAUUUUAUAACCACUAGCUUAUUUUGCAAAAUUUGCACAUUUCACCCAUAACCAAAGCAUUAUAUCAAUUUAACACCUUAUUAAUUCAAAAUAAUGUAUAGAGAAAGUUAAAUUUUAUUUAUAAAAAGUUGGGGUCUUAAAUAUAAGGCCUCUGUCUGUGUCUAUAUAUAUUUAUGCUUGCACAAAUAUGUUUCUCUCUGCUGAGAAACAGAACAAGGCUUUGCAUGCAACUUGAUCACUUUUCUUCGGAGGUUUGCAUCUAUGAUACGAUUUACUAGUAUAAUUCUUGCUUAUGCUGCUCUCUCAGGUAAACUCUUUCAUAUUUAUAUGUCUCUCUCAUAUUAUACAUUGUGUGGAUACUGAUGUCCACUGGGUUUAUUUAUUGAACUACUGAUGCUUGCUCAAUCCUACUAAGAUUUGUGAUAAAUGUUAGAUUUUACAUAAUACCUGCCUCUCUAGAAUUUAUUGUGUAAUAUCAGUUUUCUGAUAUGACUCGGCUCUAUCUUUCUCUGUGAAAUAAUUCUUUGUCCUGUUUUACUAAAGAAUGUUUUAAAUGAUACAUACUUCUACAUUCUUCUAUAAUCAUAUUUGAAAUUUUUGACUGAACUUAAUUGUUCUCUAUGUUCAAUAUAUGAAAUGUAGCAUACUUUUGUGUUACUGUUUUCUUACUUUCUUAAAUAUAAGUUUUAAAAAAAAUGAUCUACCCUACUGUUUAACUUAAAUGUUUUUUGUCCCUCACUACAGUUCUCAGUAUGGUCAUAUUACUUGUAACUUCAUACACAUAUUUACUACUAAAUCUUGACUGCAUAUAUUUCGUAUAAGAACUAUCUUACCUGCAACAUAUCAUUACAUUAUUUUCUUUCUAUCUAUAUAUAUAAGUUCUUUUAAAUAUGGUGCAUUCAUAUGUUCAGUCCUUACUUAGCUUCAUUCUCUCACCUAUCUUUCCUGCUUAUCUAUUAAUCAUGUCUAACCUCUUUUCUUCUAAACGUAAAACCCUUCCUCUGCAUUCUGAAUUACAUUUUUCUAAUGUUGUUCCUCAUCUCACCACUACAUCUGCACAAGCUAAAUACAGAAUUAUGCGACAUAAUCUGUAUCCAGGUAAUGUUAUUACCUUUAACCGCUGUGGCGACCCCAAAUCCGGAUACUUGAAACCCGAGCUCGGUUCU